AUGGCCUGGACCCCUAUCCUCCUGGGCCUCCUGGCUCACUGCACAGGGUUCGUGGCCUCCUAUGAGCUCACCCAGCCACCCUCAGUAUCAGUGGCCCUGGGAGAGACAGCCAGGAUCACCUGUAGGGGAAACAAUAUUGGUAGCAAAGCUGUGCAUUGGUACCAGCAGAAGCCAGGCCAGUCCCCUGUGCUGGUCAUCUAUGGUGAUAGCAACCGGCUCUCAGGGAUCCCUGAGCGAUUCUCAGGUUCCAACUCAGGGAACACGGCCACCCUGACCAUCAGCGGGGCCCAGGCCGAGGACGAUGCUGACUAUUACUGUCAGGUGUGGGACUCUGGGGCCGAUAGCCCAUGGGUGACCUUCUCUGGCUCCUCGUGUGUGACAUAA